AGUGUUUGAUCCUGGCUCAGGACGAACGCUGGCGGCGUGCCUAAUACAUGCAAGUAGAACGCUGAAGAGAGGAGCUUGCUCUUCUUGGAUGAGUUGCGAACGGGUGAGUAACGCGUAGGUAACCUGCCUUGUAGCGGGGGAUAACUAUUGGAAACGAUAGCUAAUACCGCAUAACAAUGGAUGACACAUGUCAUUUAUUUGAAAGGGGCAAUUGUUCCACUACAAGAUGGACCUGCGUUGUAUUAGCUAGUAGGUGAGGUAAUGGCUCACCUAGGCGACGAUACAUAGCCGACCUGAGAGGGUGAUCGGCCACACUGGGACUGAGACACGGCCCAGACUCCUACGGGAGGCAGCAGUAGGGAAUCUUCGGCAAUGGGGGCAACCCUGACCGAGCAACGCCGCGUGAGUGAAGAAGGUUUUCGGAUCGUAAAGCUCUGUUGUAAGUCAAGAACGGGUGUGAGAGUGGAAAGUUCACACUGUGACGGUAGCUUACCAGAAAGGGACGGCUAACUACGUGCCAGCAGCCGCGGUAAUACGUAGGUCCCGAGCGUUGUCCGGAUUUAUUGGGCGUAAAGCGAGCGCAGGCGGUUUGAUAAGUCUGAAGUUAAAGGCUGUGGCUCAACCAUAGUUCGCUUUGGAAACUGUCAAACUUGAGUGCAGAAGGGGAGAGUGGAAUUCCAUGUGUAGCGGUGAAAUGCGUAGAUAUAUGGAGGAACACCGGUGGCGAAAGCGGCUCUCUGGUCUGUAACUGACGCUGAGGCUCGAAAGCGUGGGGAGCGAACAGGAUUAGAUACCCUGGUAGUCCACGCCGUAAACGAUGAGUGCUAGGUGUUGGAUCCUUUCCGGGAUUCAGUGCCGCAGCUAACGCAUUAAGCACUCCGCCUGGGGAGUACGACCGCAAGGUUGAAACUCAAAGGAAUUGACGGGGGCCCGCACAAGCGGUGGAGCAUGUGGUUUAAUUCGAAGCAACGCGAAGAACCUUACCAGGUCUUGACAUCCCGAUGCUAUUUCUAGAGAUAGAAAGUUACUUCGGUACAUCGGUGACAGGUGGUGCAUGGUUGUCGUCAGCUCGUGUCGUGAGAUGUUGGGUUAAGUCCCGCAACGAGCGCAACCCCUAUUGUUAGUUGCCAUCAUUCAGUUGGGCACUCUAGCGAGACUGCCGGUAAUAAACCGGAGGAAGGUGGGGAUGACGUCAAAUCAUCAUGCCCCUUAUGACCUGGGCUACACACGUGCUACAAUGGUUGGUACAACGAGUUGCGAGUCGGUGACGGCGAGCUAAUCUCUUAAAGCCAAUCUCAGUUCGGAUUGUAGGCUGCAACUCGCCUACAUGAAGUCGGAAUCGCUAGUAAUCGCGGAUCAGCACGCCGCGGUGAAUACGUUCCCGGGCCUUGUACACACCGCCCGUCACACCACGAGAGUUUGUAACACCCGAAGUCGGUGAGGUAACCUUUUGGAGCCAGCCGCCUAAGGUGGGACAGAUGAUUGGGGUGAAGUCGUAACAAGGUA
rnacentral:rRNA from 1 species